rnacentral:rRNA from 1 species
UACGGAGGAUCCGAGCGUUAUCCGGAUUUAUUGGGUUUAAAGGGUGCGUAGGCUGUUCGGUAAGUUAGAGGUGAAAGGUUAACGCUUAACGUUGAAAUUGCCUCUGAUACUGCCGGGCUAGAGUUUAGUUGCUGUGGGCGGAAUGAGUAGUGUAGCGGUGAAAUGCUUAGAUAUUACUCAGAACACCGAUUGCGAAGGCAGCUCACAAAGCUAUAACUGACGCUGAGGCACGAAAGCGUGGGGAUCAAACAGG